AACGCGGCUUAAACUUUUAUAGAACUGCGUUUGAGUAAAUGCAGCUUAAACAUAUACAAAGCUGCGUUUUAUAAAAUGUAGCUCUGGGUUUGUUAUAAAUAAAUUAAAAAAAAAACCCUCAAUUCAACACAACAACGAAAAAAACCCUAAAUUGAAAAAAACUCUCAGCUCACUCUCAACCUAGCUCUUGAUCCCUAAUCUCACCACCGUGCUCUGUGCCAUGCAGCGCCGUGCUCUGACCGAUUUCCUUUCCUCCCAAAUCUUGAAGGGAUCAUUGAUAAGGCUGCUUUUCCUUCCUAUGAGUUUUUGGGUCUCUUUUAUAUACAUAUUUAAUUUUUUGUUAUUGUUGUUGUUAAUCUUAUUUUAGUAGAAGUAGUUAAGGCUUUGUUGUUGUUGUUCUCAGAAACUAUCAUGCACUCUCUUCCUCUGUUCUCAGUAGUCAGUGCUUCUUUCUCUCUUUCUUGCAGCAAGUGAGGCUGUACAACUGAGAUGGUGGUUUGGUAAAAGCAUCAUGCAGUGGUAGGUGAGGAGGCAAGAGUGGGGAAGCUAAGCUUUUAACUGAGGAUUGGGAAGGAGCUGUGGAAGAUUUGAAAACAGCAACUCAACAGUCACCUCAACCACAGUUUUGGCAAUGGAAUUGAUGGUUGGGAUGAGCUCAAAGAAUUGAUAUAAGUACAAAUAAGGCUCGUCUUCUUGAGCUUGAUUGAGUUGGGGAUUUGGAGGAAUCAAAUUGGGGCAAAGGGUUUGUAGAAUUUAAGGAGCGUACAUAGCCAUUUUGGUCUUUCAUUCAAUGUUGAAAGAGUGAGUUGUUUUUUUUUGGGGAAGGAGGAAGUGUUUGUGUGUUUGCGUUUUACACUUCGUGGGACCUACGACUACAGUGCCCAGAAAUAUACGAGCAACUUCCAGCUAAAACGCAUGGAUGAUAUUCCUGAACGCACCGUUUCAUUAAGCUUUUUGCUAUGCGUGUAUUGUUCAUGGACACAUCCACUAAAGGAAACGUGUUGCUACAAGUUGGGAUAUUUCUCACUGUAUACUAUUCAUAAACGGUGCGUUUUGCAAGCACUUAAACUUGGGAUAUUUCACUCAUCUGACCCACAAAGUAGAAGCACAAAACAGUGCGCAAUGCCAACGGCUAUUUUCACAUUCACCCAUCUUCUUUCUCUCAACUACCGUGGCAGAGAUGUCUUCAAUGCGCUUCAAUGUUCCGUCCUCUUCCUCUUCAAUGAAUUGCACCUACCCACCAACUAAUAAACCAUCAAAACAGAGGAAACACGGUAAUUGCAAACCCAUUACGUGAAACAAACGAACUUGAUCCCCUCUGUUUUUCCUUCGCUCGAGCCCACCUUCUUUUCGCUUGGGACGUUGUUGCCGCCAUUGUGGGCGAGAGACGCAGCAUUUAUCUGUAAGUUAUGUCUAAUUUCUCAUACUCUCUGAUGUGUUGGUAUUUUGUAUUUAUUUGAGUUGUGUUUUGCAUUUAAGGAUUAACUAUGUUCAACUCUUGUGUGGUUUUUGUGUUUACCGUGAAAUUAAUCUGUGGGUUUCUCUCUCCUUCGUGUAAUUUUGUGUGUUUCUCUUCCUGCCUAUGUUUGUAUUUGGACUACAUGAGUUUUUAAUUUGUAUUUAUCAUGUGGGCAUGUGUAACCGAUUAUGAUAUGCAUACGAACUGUUUGUUGAAAUGCCUCAAUGAAUAUAGAAUUUCGUUGUAGCAAAAAUGGGUAAGAGGAAAUCGAAGGACGCUGGUAAUGAAGUGAGAACUGGGUGGAAAGAGCCAAAGGAACUAAAAGCUUUUUGUGAUUUAUGUGCUGCUCAAGUCCUAGAUGGCAAGAGGUAUGAAGGAUAUUUGAGAAAGGAAGGGGUUGAAGCAGUGAUAAAGCAAUUGGGUGAAAUGGGAAAAGUGGUGACUCAUAUGCAGUUUAAAAACAAAUAGGAUUAUUUGAGAAAACAGUGGAAGGCUUGGAAGGAGUGUUUUGAGCGUGAGACUGGGUUGGGUUAUGAUUCUAUAACUAGGAAGAUUGAGGCCAGUGAUGAGUGGUGGACCCGAAAGAUUGAGGCAUGUCCCAAGGCAUCAACCUUUAAAAACAAAGGUUUGCCAAAUGUUGAGUCCAUGAAAAUCAUGUUUGAAGGCACGGUUGCAAUGGGGAAAAAUGCGUUCUGCACGAGUGGUGAAAUACCAAAGGAAUGCACUGAAGAGUCUAGGGACUCUGCUAAUAACAAAGAAUUUGUUGACCCCCAAUGUCAACCCUCUGCGAAUGUUGACCAAAUGGAGGUUGAAGGCCCAUCAUCGUCGAGGGCAGGACCGGCAGUGAAUAAGGGGAAAGGCUUGGCAAGCGGUGUCCACCUUUUCAGGGGAGUUUGCAAGAAACCAAGAAAAAAGCGUUCAAUUGUGCAAGAGAUGUCCAACUCUUUGAAGAACAUCUCAUAUGUUAUUGUUGAAAGUAAAAGUGUAAGUACUCGUACACCAUUUGCUUCCACAACGGCUACUGAGGUUCUAGUAAUUCUGGACAUGGUGUUGAGUCUUACUAGAGUGCAAUUUAGGUGAUCGCCUUCAUCUGUUUAGCACCUGCUUCUUCAUGGGAAACCUAGAGGGUAGGAACAUGUUUGUAGCACUUGUUCAUCAAAAGGAGGUCCAGCUGAAGUGGCUAGAGAUGCAGUACAAAUGAACCCUCAAUAUCAUUUUUUCUGAAGGAAAGGGGAUUGUCUCAAUAGGGUUUCUUAGGCUUGGUGUUGUAGUAAUCGGAUUUUCUUUAUGUACUUGUUGCACUUUUUUUUUGGCAAAAACUAUGCUUACCAUGGGUGUGUAUGUAAGACAAUAGUUACUAAUUAAUUGUCAUCUAGUGUAUGCUUAUCUAUUCUUUUUUCUUA